rnacentral:lncRNA from 1 species
GAACGUACAAACAUGGAAACAUGCUGAGGCAUGAUUAACGAAAUAUUGUUAGUCGAAAGUUUCAAAAUCAACAUCCAUUAAAUAUGAUUUAAAGCUCACUUGAAUGUUUUCUUAAUCCAAACUAACGAAUAACCAAAACUAUAAAAAGUCUACUAUAGAUGAACACUAACGGAGAUCAAAAUACAGUAAAAGGACAUUAACCGAGCAAUAUAUCAUCUGUUUGAUCACAGAGCAACACAGAGAACAAGCAAACAAAAUAUACAACAGUGGAGAGAAAAGAAAACUGAACCUUAUAGUGAGAAACUUUCUUCAUUAUAAUCCAACAUUUUUAUCCCAAAGAUUUAUACAAUGAUGAUUCGAAAGGAGCAAAAAUACGAGAAAACUAACGACCAGAUCUGGACUGAAAUGCUCCUCUAAUCGAAAACCAAGUCGGCGACCUCGACCCCGGCGAACUCAACUUUGGAGAUGCUACUUUUUUAGCAAAGAAGAAGCAAUUUUUCAGUAUUUUCGGUUGGUUUGAAGAUUGUUCGACAUCCUUUAAUGGUGGUUUGGUUGCCGUGAUUUUUUGAAGCAGAAGAAGAAGCAGGAGGCGUUGG